rnacentral:rRNA from 1 species
GACAGAGGGUGCAAACGUUGUUCGGAAUUACUGGGCAUAAAGCGCACGUAGGUGGUCCGCUAAGUCGAGUGUGAAAUCCCCCGGCUCAACCGGGGAAUUGCGCUCGAUACUGGUGGGCUAGAGGUCGGUAGGGGUGAGCGGAACUCCAGGUGGAGCGGUGAAAUGCGUAGAUAUCUGGAGGAACACCGGUGGCGAAAGCGGCUCACUGGAUCGAAUCUGACACUGAGGUGCGAAAGCUAGGGUAGCAAACGGG